CUGUUUUCAAUCCAAUUGCCAAGAUUCAGUAGCCCCUAGAAAGUGUACUUUCUGAACUGAGAAGAUAGACAAAGUAGACACUCCGCCUCUUCCUUAUUGUGUCUCCUGCUUAGGACAAUUAGUCUUUAUGAUGUAAGGAGCUCCUGAGAAUGACUGGGAAGCCUUCCUGGGAGAGCUGCUUAACCUGCCUUCCAUGCUAUUGUGUCACUGUGUAAACAGGCUGUCAGCUCCAAACUGGACUCAGAUACCUGAGGCUUCAUCCUUCUUUUUAUUUUAUUUUAAUUUACUUUUAGUUUAAAAAGGGAAGAAUUUAGUUUGGCCCAUUCUUUCAGUCCAUCUUAGUAGGAGAAGGCAUGGCAGGACACAACAGUUUGCUGCAUCAUUGCAGCCAAGAGAAAGGUCACACAAGAUGGUGAGGAUGAACAUGAUGGCAGAAACAAUAGAAGAGCAAACCUCUCCCUUCAGCAAGAAGCAAAGAGAAAGGAUGUGGACCAGAGGACUAAGGUCUACCAUAAUAGCCUGCCCCAGUGUCCCAGCUCCAUCACCGCUCAUGAAUGCCACACACCGCCUGCCAUAAAGCUGUUAGAAAACGGGCUGUGGGGAGACACUUCAAAUAUAAACUGUGCCUGUCCUUUUCCCAGAGAAUAUCUUCCUCUUCCAUUUUGGCUAUUUUUCAACCUACAGUCUCUGUCUCUUUGUAAGACUUCUCUUUAAACUCAGGAUAUUCUUAACAAAUAAUCUAUGGAUGACAUUUUCUUCAUAGUCUUUAAUUUUGUCUUUU
rnacentral:lncRNA from 1 species